AGGUCAUCAAAGGGGCAGAGAUUCUUGAAGUGUUGCACAGUCUCCCGGCAGUUCGGCAGUAUCUGUUUUCUCUCUAUGAAUGCCGUUACUCCGUUUUCUUCCAGUCGUUAGCGGUCGUAGAGCAGGAGAUGAAAAAGGACUGGCUUUUUGCGCCUCAUUACCGAUACUAUGUGAGAGAAAUGCGGAUCCAUGCAUACAGCCAGCUGCUGGAGUCAUAUAGGUCAUUAACCCUUGGCUAUAUGGCA
rnacentral:lncRNA from 1 species